rnacentral:rRNA from 1 species
GAUGAACGCUGGCUACAGGCUUAACACAUGCAAGUCGAGGGGAAACGACGGGGAAGCUUGCUUCCCCGGGCGUCGACCGGCGCACGGGUGAGUAACGCGUAUCCAACCUGCCUCUGACUGAGGGAUAACCCGUCGAAAGUCGGCCUAAUACCUCAUGGCAUCGUCUGCGGGCACCCAACGACGAUUAAAGAUUUCAUCGGUCAGGGAUGGGGAUGCGUCUGAUUAGCUAGUUGGCGGGGUAACGGCCCACCAAGGCGACGAUCAGUAGGGGUUCUGAGAGGAAGGUCCCCCACAUGGGAACUGAGACACGGUCCAAACUCCUACGGGAGGCAGCAGUGAGGAAUAUUGGUCAAUGGGCGAGAGCCUGAACCAGCCAAGUAGCGUGCAGGAUGACGGCCCUAUGGGUUGUAAACUGCUUUUAGGCGGGGAUAAAGUGAGGGACGUGUCCUUCAUUGCAGGUACCGCAUGAAUAAGGACCGGCUAAUUCCGUG